GAUGAACGCUAGCGGCAGGCUUAACACAUGCAAGUCGAGGGGUAUAGUUCUUCGGAGCUAGAGACCGGCGCACGGGUGCGUAACGCGUAUGCAAUCUACCUUUUGCAGAGGGAUAGCCCAGAGAAAUUUGGAUUAAUACCCCAUGGUAUGUGAGAAUGGCAUAAUUUUCACAUUAAAGUCACAACGGCAAAAGAUGAGCAUUCGUACCAGUAGCUAGUUGGGAAGGUAAAGGCUUACCAAGGCAACGAUGUGUAGGGGUCCUGAGAGGGAGAUCCCACACAAUGAUACUGAGACACGGACCAUACUCCGACGGGAGGCAGCAGUGAGGAAUAUUGGACAAUGGGCGCAAGCCUGAUCCAGCCAUGCCGCGUGCAGGAUGACGGUCCUAUGGAUUGUAAACUGCUUUUGUACAGGAAGAAACACUGGUUCGUGAACCAGCUUGACGGUACUGUAAGAAUAAGGAUCGGCUAACUCCGUGCCAGCAGCCGCAGUAAGAC
rnacentral:rRNA from 1 species